ensembl:lncRNA
AUGAAUGUUUGUAGUGCAGACAUGGUCUAUAAACCACAAAACUUCAAUUUUGAUUUCAUGAGAUCUUUUUUUUUUUUUUCUGCUAUUGGAUUCAUUCUGUUUCAGACGACCCUUUUUUUUCCCUUGUAUUGUGGUCUAUUUUAUUCAGGCAUGAUUGCAAAAUAUCUGCUCAACUCUCUCAAGAUUAGCAAUCGUUUGCAGCUCCAGCUAAUUUCUCGUUCAGCAUGUGCCACUGGCUCCUGUCCAGAUCUGAUGCAUAGGAACGAGCAGCCUGACUCCCGGCCGCUUGCCAUGGCCUUGACACCCCAGCUACCCCCCAGGACCCAUCGGCCCCUGUGUCUCUCAGUGUCCUCUGACAGCAGUGGACGCUUCAAAGCUCUGGAGACCCAGGAAUGGAAGAACAACCUCAAAGCUCAGAUGGAGCAGGCCCAUAGUGCCGGAGCAGCCAGCAGUACAGGUUCCCUUGAAAGAGCGUCUCUCUUUUGUGCUUCUGGCUCCACCACCCCCUCCAGCUCUGGCCUCUCCAGUCCGGUGGAGCACCUCACCAAGAGCAAGUCCUCUAGUCGCUUUUCACUCUUCUCCCCACCUUGGAACAGCAGCUCUGAGUCCGACUCCAAUCCACCUUCCCGCUCCGGAUCCAAGAAAAUGCACAACUACAGUCGCAGAGCCGGUCCCGGCAGUGCCAAAACGGGCCCAGAGACUCCAGAACCCAAGCAGAGCAUCCCUGAGCACUUCCAGUACUCAGAUCCGGUCAUAUCCAAGGUUACAGACUACAUUUAUGUGGGGAACCUGAACGCGGCUUAUAGUGGACGUACGUUGUGCCGUAAUAACAUCGACAGCAUCAUCGACAUGAGCAGCCUACCCGGGGAGACUUGUUUGAGAGUCAUUCCUUGCACUUGUUCAAGGGGUGUAAAGCAUAGUUGGUCUCGGCUCAAAGUAGACAUGACCGACCUUCCGGACACUGUCCAAGAAGGGCUGGCACUCAAGCACCGCUGCUUUGAGGACAUCAAUGAGUGCAUCGAUGCCUCCACGGAGAAGAGGAAGCGAGUGUUAGUGCAUUGUCGUGAUGGUUUUUCCCUUGCCCCCACUUGCAUUAUUCAGUACCUCAUGGUAAAACAAAAUAUGAGGCUUAUAGCUGCCUACGAGCUGCUCCGAGCCAGACACCCUGUAAACAUUCGAGAUUCCCAUCAAAACGUUCUGGUAAGUCUGGAAAGAGCUCUGAGACCGGGUGGGAACACGAAUCCAGAGUGCUUUAAACAGGCCAUCUCCCGCAAAGUGGCUUGGACCUGAUAGCGAACCUUGGGGGGCCCCCCUUCCCUUCCCUUCCCUUCCCUUCCCUUCCCUUCCCUUCCCUUCCCUUCCCUUCCCCCUCCCUCCCCUCCCUCCCUCCCCUCCCCUCCCCUUCCCCUUCCCCUUCCCCUUCCCCUUCCCCUUCCCCUUCCCCUUCCCCUUCCCCUUCCCCUUCCCUUCCCUUCCCUUCCCUUCCCUUCCCUUCCCAACAGAACAGUGAAAGGCAGCUUUUUUUGUGUUUUAACUGAGCUGGAUUUCAUGGUGUGAGUGCUAACUGUGAAAAUUUACUGAAGUUGUUCAGUGGCCAUUUUAGCAAAACAAAGCCUGAGAAUUUGAGUCAUUUGUUUUGCUUCUGGCUAAACAAAAUGAGAACAAAAAACAUGCUUUGUGCAGCUGCUAAACAAUUUGAUUUGUCUGGGAAUACUUCUCCUGUUUAUUCUUCUUCACAUGGGUACAUAGCCAUGCUCUGCAGGUUUAUGCUGAAGAAGAAAGUAGUGGGAGCUCUCAGGAGAUGAAAUGAUGUCACAUAUGGCUGCAAACACCACUACUGAGGCUGAAACGUCAAACUGGAGUACUAUCAACUAAACAUUUCAAACACUCUGUUAACAGAUUGAGGAUUUAACACGAUUAGUCAUUGUAUCUGGCAGUACAAAGCACAACCUUUGUUGGCAUCCUUAUUCAUUUGACAGUUGGUUGAUAUUUCUUUGUGUUCAACCAGGGUCGAAAGAUACACAGUAAGAGUAGUCCUCUAUGAGGAGACAUUUCAUUUACUAAGUGUCUUUUAUUAAAUGUGUAAUAUUCAACAAGUUUGAUCAAAUAAUUCAGUGCUUGGAAACAAUGUGAAUUUUGUGAUCGUGUAAAGCAUUGAAACUGGCCCACUUUAUACCUUUUAUGGAGUGCUGGUAUUUGGAAAAUGAAUUAAACCGAGUUGUGGAGCAAUGCUCAGUUGCAAAGGCUUGAUAUUGCACUAACCACAAGGAAAUGCACAAGUUUUGCUGAAACGUGGCUUAGUUUGAUUUAAUGUUGCGCAGUGAAUAUAGAUCAAAAUAUUUUUAUUAUGCUAAUGUUUAUGCUUAACUUAAUGAUUGCUGUUCAUGGUUUCUAUUGUAUUUUGAUUUAGCCAUAUAGAAAAAUGUAACAACCCUGACUGAUAGCACACGUAUGUCACCGAGACGUCUUGAAUGCAUGCAUCUUCAUUUAGACAGUUUUUUUUUUUAAAGCAUUAGCUAGUUUGCAAUAUGUUGUUGACAAAAUCCCUUGUCAGAUAUACACCCAGUUUGUAUUGAAAGCGGCCAAAGCAACAAACCUAGAUGGCUAUCAUUAUAAUAGAUACAUCUAACUAGGUUAGCGGUGUUGAUUAUAACAUGAGCAGUCUAUUUUUAAUGCUUUGCAACACAUUUAUGGUUUCAAAUUUAGAUGAACCUGCUGUUUUUCUGACAUUUGCACACAAAUAUAAUAUAAUGUGUGUCUUGGUGACGUACUUGUGCUUACCGGGAAAUAUAUUUGACAUGGCUUAUGCUUGUCAGUAGUGAUUAUCCUAUUUUAAUAUUUAGUGCACAGUUUGGUGAAGAAAGACCCUCCAGAGUUUUGGUGCCUUUUGUUUGAACUUGUCCAGUUUUGAUUAUUGUGACCUUCACACGCACACACUAUAUGCACUCAUCAGGUAUAGACAAAAUGUCGUCUUUAUGCUUUGACAUGUUCAGGAAAUGCUCCAUGUUGCUGUAAUUUUGUGAUGUAUGACAGAGAUCAGUUUCAUCUGAAUACGCUGUUGUAAAGGUUUCAUAGCAGUGCUCAUAGUGAACAGUGCCUGUACUUCAAUCAAUGUGGUGGUGACAUCAAUCAGUGUGAGAUCAUUACCUUCUUCUACGGGCCUGCAAUUAGCUUCUGACAUUAGCAAAGCUGUAUUUAGAUUCAAAUGGAACAUUGCUUUAUUCUUAUUCAUUAGCUUAUUUAAAUCUAUAUUUUUGGAUGGUUGAUCUCGCCCUGUAAAGGUCUAACAACAUGAACUCUCAGGUUAACUUUAUUGGCCUAGAAAACAUACUCAAUGCGUUAGAAACCAGAAUAAUGUGAGGCAAUGUAUUUUCUGUGUCAUGUUUUUGAAGAAAAUGCAUUUGUACAUGUUGAUAUUAAAGAGAAUCUGAUGCACUGAGUUCCUUGUCGUGUGAAAUGUUCAAAUAGGAAAUCUUGUGAAUCUUGGAAAAGAUAUAUGUGAUCAUGUCAUUUUGUUUGAGUAUUUUCAGAUUUUAUCAAUUUUAUCAGAUUUUGUAUUUUUGUUAUAGAAGAAUGACAUUAAAACUUGGAAACUUUUAAAGAUAACUUUAACAUUUAUUUUUAAUACUUUGCAAAUGAACAUUAACAUUAUUAACUAACUAUGAUGAUUUAAACUGUGAAAUAAUCAUACAUUUCAAGAUGUGAAAUUAAGACCACACCAAAUAUUUUUGCUUUUAAAUUUAUUAAUAUGUUUAUUUUUUUCAUCUCAAAAAUUGUUUACCAAUUUGCAUGUGCAUGAUGAAAAUCUUAACUUGAGAAUGAGGUUUAUAGCAGGUAUUAACAGUGAUUAAAUUAUACUUAUAUUUCAGUUAUUAUUUGAAUGCCUGGGGUGAAAGAAUCCCAGGUAGCCAUCAGCACCAGACCAACUGUUUAGAAACAUAAAUAGAACAGUUAGAAAUAUUUAGAAAUAUGCUACUCUGCAUGUACAGUAUUCACAAGCUCAUCUACCGAAUGAGAAAUAAUGUUUCCAGUCUGUUUAGACCUGCCUGGCUUUGCUUUGCUUUAAGAAAAAAAAGAAAACAGUUAAUAUCCCUUCCAGCUAAUUUGUCAAGCUGGAAAUGGAAGGUAAAAUUGCUGAUAGUUUAGUAAAAUAGGCAAUAUGAGCACUUUUUGCUUUUUUAGUAUAGACUUAUAAGUGGCACUAGAGUUUUUAAACAAUAAGUUGAACAGAUUUUUAUAAAUGAAUGAUGUCAGUUUGUUUGUCACCUGGUGUUCCAUGUGUUCCCUCUGGAACUUUCUUCUGGGCUCUUAGAAUAGCAGUUAAUGUGGUUAACAAUAAGAAAAAUGAGUUGUUAAAUGAACCACAAUCUACACAAUCACAAAUUUCUUAACCUAGUCAUAACAACUCAUAUGCACAUUGUACCCUCAAGUUGGAAUUUAAUUAUUCUGAAUAUUAAUUUUGUAUAUGACAUUCGCCCAAUGGGCAAAUCUAACCAAGUGAUUUAAUUAUUAUUCAUAAACUGAGCCUUUGCAAAAUAUGUUCUAAGAAUGCUUUGCUAGCAUUCCCAUUAAGUUAUAAAAAUAUUAUUUCUGAAUGUACUGUACGUUUCAGGAAAAAAAACUUCAGAAAUGUUCAUGAACAAUAUGUUUCUCUUUCUUUAAUUUUUAAAUGCAUUUAUUUAUUUUUGCGAAUAAACUCAU